rnacentral:lncRNA from 1 species
UCUCUGUUACUAAGAGCUUGACUGGCAUGCUCAGCACAAUGUGACACACAGGAAGACACACAUCUUUCCUCAUGGUGCACAAUGGAAGGUUAAAUUCGGGGCUGAUGUCUUAGUGGGUGUAACGUACCCACACCCUUCCAGAGUCCUCAGCGGAGAAUGGUCUAAAUUCACCAGAUCGACCACAUGACCCUUCAGAGCUUGGGAGCCUCUCGGCCCCCACGCCCCAGCCUACUAAACUAAUUGUCCCUGACAAAUGUUUCCUAUAUUGGCAACUGUGAGAGCACAAGAGUCACAUGGAAAGUGACUACCAUAGCGCAUGAAAAGGGCCCCAUGGAUUUGGUGAGCAAGAAUGGUGACAGGAUGGAACUGUGCACUGAAAAUGCAUGAGAGCUGCUCAGCAGGAGGACAGGAAUGUUGGUGGUGAUUGUGUUGUUGCUGAUUGCAAUUGCUGUGGUUGCCGUCUGGCCAACACACUAACACAAGUACAGGAACCAUCAGAGAUGCCACUUAGCAGCAGCAGCAACAGCAGAGCUGGACAAUAUCAGAGGAUGCGAACAACUCCAUUGCAAACACGUUUUGUGUGUUAAGUAAACUCAGUAUUAGAAUGAAGAUGUUGCUGCACGCAAUGCACAGCCAGAGGGUUGUGGCUAGUUUGGAGCAUUUGAACUUCAAAAGGACUCUUUUCCUUCCUUGAUUUUGUACUUCAGAGGGACACAGCUGGAGAAGAUGCAUCUUUUAAGAGAUUUACCCUUCAGUGCAACUGACUCUAAGCAAGCAAUCUGCCCCUUUUGUUGAGAGAUCAGUCAUCCUGAGGGUUUAAUGUACUGUAUACUGCUCCUACAUAGUUUAUGUGGUAUAUGUGUUGAGUUCCUCCUCUCUUGCUAAAUGAUGAUCUUUUGAACCAAGAUUUUGCAUCUUAUAAAGAAGUGA